rnacentral:rRNA from 1 species
CAACUUGAGAGUUUGAUCCUGGCUCAGAACGAACGCUGGCGGCAGGCCUAACACAUGCAAGUCGAACGCCCCGCAAGGGGAGUGGCAGACGGGUGAGUAACACGUGGGAACCUACCUAGAGGUGCGGAAUAGCUCAGGGAAACUUGUGGUAAUACCGCAUACGCCCGAAAGGGGAAAGAUUUAUCGCCUUUGGAUGGGCCCGCGUCUGAUUAGCUAGUUGGUGAGGUAACGGCUCACCAAGGC